CCGGCCAACUACGUGCCAGCAGCCGCGGUGAUACGUAGGGUGCAAGCGUUGUCCGGAUUUAUUGGGCGUAAAGAGCUCGUAGGCGGUUUGGUAAGUCGGGUGUGAAACCCCCAGGCUCAACCUGGGGCCGCCAUCCGAUACUGCCAUGACUUGAGUCCGGUAGGGGACCAUGGAAUUCCUGGUGUAGCGGUGAAAUGCGCAGAUAUCAGGAGGAACACCAGUAGCGAAGGCGGUGGUCUGGGCCGGUACUGACGCUGAGGAGCGAAAGCGUGGGGAGCGAACAGGAUUAGGUACCCUGGUAGUCCACGCCGUAAACGUUGGGCACUAGGUGUGGGGACUAUUCAACGGUCUCCGUGCCGCAGCUAACGCAUUAAGUGCCCCGCCUGGGGAGUACGGCCGC
rnacentral:rRNA from 1 species